GGAUUGUAGCUCAGUGGUAGAGUGCUUACCUGGCAUGCGUGAAGCACUGGGUUCGAUCCUCAGCACCA
rnacentral:tRNA from 1 species